rnacentral:rRNA from 1 species
UGCGGUUAUACAAAAAUUAAAUUAAAUUUUUUUAGGAUUUAAUUAAUAAAAUUAAAAUUAAUAAUAAUUUAAAUUUUAAAUUAUAAAGUGAAAUUUUAAUUUAAUUAAAAUUUAUUUAUUUUUAUGAUAUUAAUAAAUUUUAUAAAAAACUAGGAUUAGAUACCCUAUUAUAAAAAUUUAAAUUAAAAUAAUCUUAAAAUAGUAUAUAAUUUUUUAUAGAAACUUAAAUAAUUUGGCGGUAUUUUAGUUCAUUUAGAGGAAUCUGUCUAAUAAUUGAUAAUCCACGAUUAAAUUUACUUAAUUUUUAAUUUUGUAUAUCGUUGUUAAAAAAAUAUUUUUAAAUAAUUUUAAUAUUUUAGAAUUUAUAUUAAAAAUUAAAUCAGAUCAAGAUGCAGAUUAUAAUUAAGAAUAUGAUGGAUUACAAUAAAUUUUAUUUAAUUUGGAUAUUAAUUUGAAAUAAGUUAAUUGAAAUUGGAUUUAAAUGUAAUUUUAUUUAUUUUAAUAAAAUGAUUAAAAAUUAAAAUAUGUACAUAUUGCCCGUCGCUUUCAUUAAUAAAUUGAAAUAAGUCGUAACAAAGUAGAGGUACUGGAAAGUGUUUCUAGAAAGAU